AUUGAACGCUGGCGGCAGGCCUAACACAUGCAAGUCGAGCGGUAGCACAGAGAGCUUGCUCUCGGGUGACGAGCGGCGGACGGGUGAGUAAUGUCUGGGAAACUGCCUGAUGGAGGGGGAUAACUACUGGAAACGGUAGCUAAUACCGCAUAACGUCGCAAGACCAAAGUGGGGGACCUUCGGGCCUCAUGCCAUCAGAUGUGCCCAGAUGGGAUUAGCUGGUAGGUGGGGUAACGGCUCACCUAGGCGACGAUCCCUAGCUGGUCUGAGAGGAUGACCAGCCACACUGGAACUGAGACACGGUCCAGACUCCUACGGGAGGCAGCAGUGGGGAAUAUUGCACAAUGGGCGCAAGCCUGAUGCAGCCAUGCCGCGUGUGUGAAGAAGGCCUUCGGGUUGUAAAGCACUUUCAGCGGGGAGGAAGGCGGUGAGGUUAAUAACCUCACCGAUUGACGUUACCCGCAGAAGAAGCACCGGCUAACUCCGUGCCAGCAGCCGCGGUAAUACGGAGGGUGCAAGCGUUAAUCGGAAUUACUGGGCGUAAAGCGCACGCAGGCGGUCUGUCAAGUCGGAUGUGAAAUCCCCGGGCUCAACCUGGGAACUGCAUUCGAAACUGGCAGGCUAGAGUCUUGUAGAGGGGGGUAGAAUUCCAGGUGUAGCGGUGAAAUGCGUAGAGAUCUGGAGGAAUACCGGUGGCGAAGGCGGCCCCCUGGACAAAGACUGACGCUCAGGUGCGAAAGCGUGGGGAGCAAACAGGAUUAGAUACCCUGGUAGUCCACGCUGUAAACGAUGUCGAUUUGGAGGUUGUGCCCUUGAGGCGUGGCUUCCGGAGCUAACGCGUUAAAUCGACCGCCUGGGGAGUACGGCCGCAAGGUUAAAACUCAAAUGAAUUGACGGGGGCCCGCACAAGCGGUGGAGCAUGUGGUUUAAUUCGAUGCAACGCGAAGAACCUUACCUGGUCUUGACAUCCACAGAACUUUCCAGAGAUGGAUUGGUGCCUUCGGGAACUGUGAGACAGGUGCUGCAUGGCUGUCGUCAGCUCGUGUUGUGAAAUGUUGGGUUAAGUCCCGCAACGAGCGCAACCCUUAUCCUUUGUUGCCAGCGGUCCGGCCGGGAACUCAAAGGAGACUGCCAGUGAUAAACUGGAGGAAGGUGGGGAUGACGUCAAGUCAUCAUGGCCCUUACGACCAGGGCUACACACGUGCUACAAUGGCAUAUACAAAGAGAAGCGACCUCGCGAGAGCAAGCGGACCUCAUAAAGUAUGUCGUAGUCCGGAUUGGAGUCUGCAACUCGACUCCAUGAAGUCGGAAUCGCUAGUAAUCGUAGAUCAGAAUGCUACGGUGAAUACGUUCCCGGGCCUUGUACACACCGCCCGUCACACCAUGGGAGUGGGUUGCAAAAGAAGUAGGUAGCUUAACCUUCGGGAGGGCGCUUACCACUUUGUGAUUCAUGACUGGGGUGA
rnacentral:rRNA from 1 species